AGAUGGAUCAUUCACAGUGAAUGCUUACACAUGCUGGCACGCCGACUUGGAACACACAAAAUUAAAGAAAUUGGUUUUUGACUUGGGCCAUACGAAAUUAAGGAAACUGGUUUUUGACUUGGGGCAUAUGAAAUUAGAGUAAUUGGUUAUUGACUUGGACCAUACGAAAUUAAGGAAACUGGUUUUCGACUUGGGGCAUAUGAAAUUAGAGUAAUUGGUUUGGACCAAACGAACUAAAAGUAUGUGGUGAUUGGCUUGGACCAAACGAACUAAAAGUAUGUGGUGAUUGGCUUGGAUCAAACGAACUAAAAGUAUGUGGUGAUUGGCUUGGAUCAAACGAACUGAAAGUAUGUGGUGAUGGACUUGGACCAAACGAACUGAAAGUAUGUGGUGAUGGACUUGGACCAAACGAACUGAAAGUAUGUGGUGAUGGACUUGGACCAAACGAACUGAAAGUAUGUGGUGAUGGACUCGGACCAAACGAACUGAAAGUAUGUGGUGAUCGACUCGGACCAAACGAACUGAAAGUAUGUGGUGAUUGACUCGGACCAAACGAACUGAAAGUAUGUGGUGAUUGACUCGGACCAAACGAACUGAAAGUAUGUGGUGAUUGACUCGGACCAAACGAACUGAAAGUAUGUGGUGAUUGACUCGGACCAAACGAACUGAAAGUAUGUGGUGAUUGACUCGGACCAAACGAACUGAAAGUAUGUGGUGAUUGGCUUGGACCAAACGAACUGAAAGUAUGUGGUGAUUAGCUUGGAUCAAAUGAACAAAAAGUAUGUGGUGAUUAGCUUGGAUCAAACGAACAAAAAGUAUGUGGUGAUUAGCUUGGAUCAAACGAACAAAAAGUAUGUGGUGAUUAGCUUGGAUCAAACGAACAAAGAGUAUGUGGUGAUUAUCUCAAAUCAAAUUGUAUGGUGAAUUUCACGACUUUCAGCGAUGGAUGUCUCGGAUCUCGUAACGAUGAAGGACGCAGCUAGCUGCGAUACGCAGUGUGACUUGCAAACUUCUGAGAAUCACUAGAUUUUUGAACGCAAAAGGCACUCUUGGGUUCUGCUCAGGAGUAUGCUCACUUCAGUGCUUUAUCUGUUUGUUGUCUUAAUUGGUAGACAACGUGGAUAGUUGCUGUUCUUACGGCUUCUGAAAUCGAAUGGUCUUCGACUCUUUGGUGAACCCAUAGAGCCACCGGCCAAGUUGUUAAUCAAACAAGCCUGAAUUUGAGCAAGGCUACCCGCUGAAUUUAAGCAUAUUAUUAAGCGGAGGAAGAGAAACUAACUAGGAUUCCCUUAGUAACGGCGAGUGAACAGGGAAGAGCUCAAACUGAAAAUCGGCAGCUUGCUGUUGAAUUGUAGUCUCGCGAAGUGCAACCUGUGUUUGUUCUGGGCUGAGUCUCUUGGAAAAGAGUACCAAAGAGGGUGAAAGUCCCGUCUUUGCCCAGGAAUAUUCACGUUCGGUGCAUUUUCAAAGAGUCGCGUUCCUUGCGAUUGGAGCGCUAAGUGGGUGAUAAAUUUCAUCUAAAGCUAAAUACUAACGAGAUUCCGAUAGCAUACAAGUACCGUGAGGGAAAGAUGAAAAGGACUUUGAAAAGAGAGUUAAAAGGAACUGAAAUCGCUGAAAGGGAAGCAGACAGUCUUGGCCAUCCGCAAAUCUGGGUGUUUGACUUAGUCUAUAUGGCUGGUUUUGAAUGCUAGAGUUCUGCGGUGAUUCUGGGUGAGGUCGACGAAAUCGAGAGAAGCAAAUGUGUGUACCUCAAGGGGGUCACUUUCUUGCUGUUGCCUAUUUCAUCGAUCUAUGAACUAAUGCGGCACCUUAGUGGUUGCAUUAUAGUACCCCAGAGACGUCCAUUACUGUCUGUCCCGUCUUGAAACACGGACCAAGGAGUCUAACUUAUGUGCGAGUACAAGGGUGGAAAACCCACGUGCGAAAUGAAAGUAAUUGUCAGGAAGGGCAACCUGCACUGACGCCCGGCUAUCAAGCUGAGGCUGAGCAUAUAGGUUAGGACCCGAAAGAUGGUGAACUAUGCCUGAGUAGGGUGAAGCCAGAGUAAACUCUGGUGGAAGCUCGUAGCGAUACUGACGUGCAAAUCGUUCGUCAAACUUGGGUAUAGGGGCGAAAGACUAAUCGAACCAUCUAGUAGCUGGUUCCCUC
rnacentral:misc_RNA from 1 species